GGAUCCAAGAACUGUUUGGCUACGGUACCUGUUAUCACAUGGAUUUCUAGAUUCGAUUCAGCUGAACUGGUUGGCAUGGCAGGUCUUUCCCACUUCACUCUGUUCUGAAGAGCUUGAGCAUCCCAGGUAGAAAAAAAACUACAGUUUAUGAUAGCUAUGCUUUCCUGCCAGGGCCUCCAAAGCAGCUCAAGGUCCAUUUGUAAGGGGUGGGGAGGAAGACAUGCAGGAAGUGGGGGCCUUAUGGGCCUAUCUACACAGU